rnacentral:misc_RNA from 1 species
UCGAACAAAUGUAGAGUUGGUUGUCGCUGGCCCUCUCUGCUGGGCAUGUGCAUGCCUUCUCUUUCAUCCACACACACCUGUGCACUCGUGAAGAUGGAAGUGCCCUUGGGCGUCUGUCUGCUCCACAUAAAACCAUAUGUAUAUAUAUAUUGAAUGUAAUUGAUGCAAUGCAUCUUUGAAC